UCUUCAGUAGCUCAGUGGUAGAGCAAGUGGCUGUUAACCAUCUGGACGUUGGUUC
rnacentral:tRNA from 1 species